GAGAGUGAAGAGUGUGUCAUUGUUCUCUACAGGUUGAGAGAUUGUGACGUCACAGAUGAAGGUUGUUCUGCUCUGACUUCAGCUCUGAGAUCAAACCCCUCACCCCGGAGAGAACUGGAUCUGUCUUGGAAUAAUAAUCUAGGAGACUCGGGAGUGAAGCGUCUCUGUGCUGUACUGGAGGAUCCUCACUGUAAACUGGAGAAACUGUGGUUGGUGUAUUGUGGAGUGACAGAUGAAGGUUGUUCUGCUCUGACUUCAGCUCUGAGAUCAAACCCCUCACACCUGAGAGAACUGAAUCUGUCUGGGAAUAAACUACAAAAAUCAGAAGUGAAGUUACUCUCUGAUCUGAAAGAUGAUCCACGUUAUAAACUGGAGACAUUAGACUACUGACUCUCAGUAUUUAGACGUCAGUUCAGUUUCCUCAGGAUCAGCGGAUGGUGAAUAAGAGCCACUACAGAGACGUCACAGUCACACAAUCAACAGAGACUGAAGACACAGAGA